rnacentral:rRNA from 1 species
AUGAACGCUGGCGGCGUGCUUAACACAUGCCAGUCGAACGGAAAGGCCCAAGCUUGCUUGGGUACUCGAGUGGCGAACGGGUGAGUAACACGUGGGUGAUCUGCCCUGCACUUCGGGAUAAGCCUGGGAAACUGGGUCUAAUACCGGAUAGGACCACGUCUUGGAUGUUGUGGUGGAAAGUUUUUUCGGUGUGGGAUGAGCUCGCGGCCUAUCAGCUUGUUGGUGGGGUAAUGGCCUACCAAGGCGUCGACGGGUAGCCGGCCUGAGAGGGUGUACGGCCACAUUGGGACUGAGAUACGGCCCAGACUCCUACGGGAGGCAGCAGUGGGGAAUAUUGCACAAUGGGCGCAAGCCUGAUGCAGCGACGCCGCGUGGGGGAUGACGGCCUUCGGGUUGUAAACUCCUUUCGCUAGGGACGAAGCGUUUUUGUGACGGUACCUGGAGAAGAAGCACCGGCUAACUACGUG